rnacentral:rRNA from 1 species
GCCCGUCGCUCCUACCGAUUGGAUGACUCGGUGAAAUCACCGGAUGCUUACGAGCAGAAAGUGAUUAAAUCACGUUAUCUAGAGGAAGGAGAAGUCGUAACAAGGUAACGGUAGGUGAACCUGCCGUUGGAUCAGUUCUAGUUUUAAUAACUAACACCAACUUCUUUUAUUAAACAAAAACCAAUACAAAAUUAAAAACUAACUUCAUCAAAAACCAAGUCUCUAAGCAAUGGAUGUCUUGGCUCCUCACACGAUGAAGAACGUGGCAUAAUGUGUUAAGUAACCGGAGUUGCAAACAUCAUGACAGGUUAAUCUUUGAAUGCAAAUUGCGCUAAACUCGAUCUCGGUCGAGAAGCAUGGGUGU